AUUGAACGCUGGCGGCAGGCCUAACACAUGCAAGUCGAGCGCGGCGCGGGCGGGUGAGUAAUGCCUGGGAAUUGCCCAGUCGAGGGGGAUAAAAGGUGGAAACGACUGCUUAUACCACAAUCGCUGGGAUUGCCCAGGUGGGUUUAGCUAAGUGGGGUGGGAAUGGCUCACCAAGGCCACGCUCCCUAGCUGGUAUGAGAGGAUGAUCAGCCACACUGGAACUGCGACACGGUCCAGACUCCUACGGGAGGCAGCAGUGGGGAAUAUUGCACAAUGGGGGAAACCCUGAUGCAGCCAUGCCGCGUGUGUGAAGAAGGCCUUCGGGUUGUAAAGCACUUUCAGCGAGGAGGCGUUACUCGCAGAAGAAGCACCGGCUAACUCCGUGCCAGCAGCCGCGGUAAUUC
rnacentral:rRNA from 1 species